UCGCCCCGUGUUUUUAAAAACAUAGCCUAAAGUAUGGUUAAAAUGGCAUUUUAGGUAGCCCCUGCCCAGUGAUAUAUUUCUUAGUUUAACGGCCGCAGUACCCUGACUGUGCUAAGGUAGCAUAAUCAGUUGGCUUUUAAUUGAAGUCUGGAAUGAACGGGGUUUACGGGGGUAAGCUGUAUCAUUUAUUAUUUUUUUAAAAUUGGUUGUAAGGUGAAAAAACCUUAUUUUUUCAGAAAAAAGACGAGAAGACCCUUAGAAUCUUAAUUAAAAGAGCAUAAGUUUAAAGGUUUAGUUCUUCCAUUUUUGUUGGGGCGACAAAGAGAGCAAAAGACUUUUAGUUUUAGGAAAACCCUCUUAUAGUGAUACAUAAAACUUGACGAGAAUUUUAAGUAUGAGUAGAUUACCUUAGGGAUAACAGCGUUAUUUUAAAAAUAAGAUUGCGACCUCGAUGUUGGACUAGGGACUCCACGGCUAGCAGCCAUAAGAGAUGGUUCUGUUCGAACAUUUAACCCUACAUGAUCUGAGUUCAGACCGGA
rnacentral:rRNA from 1 species